CAAUAGCGUAUAUUUAUGUUGUUGCAGUUAAAAAGCUCGUAGUUGGAUUUCGGAUGGGAUUUGCCGGUCCGUCGUUACGAUGUGCACUGGCCAGUCCUAUCUUGUUGUCGGGGACUAGCUCCUUGGAUUCACUUCCUGGGACUAGGAGCUGACGAGGUUACUUUGAGUAAAUUAGAGUGUUCAAAGCAAGCCUACGCUCUGAAUACAUUAGCAUGGAAUAACACGAUAGGACUCUGGCUUAUCUUGUUGGUCUGUGAGACCAGAGUAAUGAUUAAGAGGGACAGUCGGGGACAUUCGUAUUUCAUUGUCAGAGGUGAAAUUCUUGGAUUUAUGAAAGACGAACUUCUGCGAAAGCAUUUGUCAAGGAUGUUUUCAUUAA
rnacentral:rRNA from 1 species